CUGUCCUAGCCUGCGCUUUCCCUGUCCACUGUGAUAGCUCCAACACCAUAGUCUGGGCUGUACACACGUAAUCUCCCUGUCUGUGUAGGAUGACCGCCCUGAGCAUAGGGCUGGCUCUGAGAGCUAGGAAAAGACAAU